rnacentral:snRNA from 1 species
AUAUUUACCUUGUAGGGGAAGAUGCCGUGAUCGCACAGGUGAUUUCUCCAGGUUGAGACUUAUCCAUUGCACUGCAAAUGUGCUGACUCCUGUGACUUCCCCAAAAGUGGGGAACUUGACUGCAUAAUUUGUGUUAGUGGGAGACUGCGUGCAUGCUCCCC